CAGAAUUCAGUCAUUCGCAUAUGAGUUUGGAUUUGGUUAAAAGUUCAACGCAUUUCAAGUUCCGAAGCCAAAAGUUCAACAAAAAACCUCCAAAAAAGAACUCAGCUUUUAACAGAUCUCUUCCACUUCAAGCUCAGAAUCCAAUUCCUUAUUCCUCUCCCUCUCCUAUUUCAGAUUUUCAAUCCAACAAUUCGAUCUGCCCAGGAAUCUCUCUUUCCCUUUCAUGGCCGAUCAUUUCCAUUGCCUUUUCACGUAAUAGCAGUCUGUUUUUAUUCUUCGAAUCCAAUUCCUCUUUUAAAAAAUAAAAAAUAAUGGUUUUGGUUGCGGAGUCGAUGCAGUUUAAUACUCUGCGAUCGGAUCCUGCUGAUUAUUUCUCCUAGUGAACUCAUCCUUGGAGGUGCUUAGCAGGGUUUGGCUCAUGCUCUCUAGCAAUUUAAUUGUUAGCGUUUAGUUCUCUUGUAAUGCAAUCGUUUGACGAGAACGAGAACAAUAAAUUGAAGCGUUUGAGACCAUUCAGUAACGACAUGCCUGUGACUGACACCAUCACCCCUCAAAAUCUUGAUGACUGCAUUUUUUUCCCUGUUGAGGAGAUUGUACAAUCCCCAUUGCCAGGAUGCGGUGCACCCACUUCAAUUAGUUUCAGUCCUGAUGAUACUUUA
rnacentral:misc_RNA from 1 species